GACGAACGCUGGCGGCGUGCCUAAUACAUGCAAGUAGAACGCUGAAGGAGGAGCUUGCUCUUCUGGAUGAGUUGCGAACGGGUGAGUAACGCGUAGGUAACCUGCCUGGUAGCGGGGGAUAACUAUUGGAAACGAUAGCUAAUACCGCAUAAGAGUAGAUGUUGCAUGACAUUUGCUUAAAAGGUGCAAUUGCAUCACUACCAGAUGGACCUGCGUUGUAUUAGCUAGUUGGUGGGGUAACGGCUCACCAAGGCGACGAUACAUAGCCGACCUGAGAGGGGGAUCGGCCACACUGGGACUGAGACACGGCCCAGACUCCUACGGGAGGCAGCAGUAGGGAAUCUUCGGCAAUGGACGGAAGUCUGACCGAGCAACGCCGCGUGAGUGAAGAAGGUUUUCGGAUCGUAAAGCUCUGUUGUAAGAGAAGAACGAGUGUGAGAGUGGAAAGUUCACACUGUGACGGUAGCUUACCAGAAAGAGACGGCUAACUACGUG
rnacentral:rRNA from 1 species